UCCCUGUCCUCCAGGAGCUCACGUGGGUCAGGCUGUGAGCGCCUCGAGGGCAGAGCCC
rnacentral:pre_miRNA from 1 species